AUUGAACGCUGGCGGCAUGCCUUACACAUGCAAGUCGAACGGCAGCACGGGAGCAAUCCUGGUGGCGAGUGGCGAACGGGUGAGUAAUAUAUCGGAACGUGCCCAGUCGUGGGGAUAACGUAGCGAAAGCUACGCUAAUACCGCAUACGAUCUAUGGAUGAAAGCGGGGGAUCGCAAGACCUCGCGCGAUUGGAGCGGCCGAUAUCAGAUUAGGUAGUUGGUGAGGUAAAGGCUCACCAAGCCGACGAUCUGUAGCUGGUCUGAGAGGACGACCAGCCACACUGGACUGAGACACGGCCCAGACUCCUACGGAGGCAGCAGUGGGAAUUUUGGACAAUGGGCGCAAGCCUGAUCCAGCAAUGCCGCGUGCAGGA
rnacentral:rRNA from 1 species